rnacentral:lncRNA from 1 species
UGUGGAUGAGGUCCUUCAAGCUUGCCCGAUGAUCUUCACGAUCACUCCUACCUGACACGUUAGAUGUCGGUGUUUUAUACCUAGCAAUCUACCGAGGGGUAUCCUAAGGUAGUAGAUUGGUUGGUGGGGGAUCGUCGGACCUGGAACUUGACGGUAAAAGAGAGGACACAAGAUACGGAUUUAUACGGGUUCGGACCGUCAGAGUAGCGUAAUAUUCUACAUCCUAUUUGGGGUUUUGUAUAUUGCGCUCUGUGCUUGGAUGUUGUUAUGUGUUGAGGAUUUGAUCCUCUGUUGUGGUUCUAUGAAGUCUUGGCCUACCAAUCUAGGGAGUCCUAUACUCCUUUAUAUACUCCAGGGGACAGGAUAACUAGUCAGUUAAAAGAAGUUCUAGUAGAAUUACAUGGUAUGAGUCCUGUUAGGAUUACAGGGAAAUUAUAGUAGAAGUCUGUCUUCUUUCUUCCUUGCGUGUACUGAAGAUCUAUCCCUGAUAGCAAAUUUUUAGUGUGAAAAGCUAGAAGCUCAAACAAACAACAACCUUCUCGUGUAGCUUCCAAAAACCCAGCAGCUCAGAAAAUCUAAGUUUAUAUGAGAGCUGAAAAGCUCAGUUUUCCGAGCAUUUCAUAAUUUUUGAGCCCCAAAAAGUAAACGCAUCUUUCGAAAGUUAGGGUUAACUUUUCAAAAUAAAAAAUCAACAAUAAUUUUUCAGAAAAGCACAAAAUAGCUAGCUAGCUAGAGACGGAUUGACAUGCCUGGCUGGCUCAUCGGGCAGCGGAACUUAGGAGCAGUCAUCGGUCAAUCCGACAAGACGGGGGACAUUGAAAUGAAUAGGGAGCACGUGCGCCCGUGGUUGCACUGUUAGCAUGCGUUUGUAUUAGGAUGACGUGGGUUGGGUCGGAACCAAACCCCCUUCUGUGGGUUGGAAUGAUCCCAGCUAGUGUUUGGAUGAGAGGGAUAGAGAGAGAUAGAUUGGACCCAGUCUUUUAUUUGGUUGAAGAGGUUGAGAGGGUUGGGAUGGAUGUCAGCUGCGGGGCUCACCUGUCAUCCUCUUCUUCUUUUUUCCCUCACUUCCUCUUCUAUCUUCUUCCUCCUUACGCCGCCCGGCUGCAACUCCUCCCCGGCCAGCGGCCCCUUGCCAGCGCCGGGCGGCUCCGCCCGAUGCCGGCCGCCUCCGCCCCUGGCUCUUCCCCGGUGCCCCGACGCCCCCGCGCCCCCUGCUCCUCCACGGAACCGUCGACCGCCUCCCCGAUUUCUCCCCAACGCCUCCCGCUGGCCGCCUCCUCCCCACGUGACCUCCCUAUCCCGGUGCCGACUACCUCCUCUGCGCCGGCCUCCGCCUCCAUCAGCAAGCAGAGCUCCCCUGGCCAUCCCGCCCCCACCUGGCUCCCGCUCUCUUCUCCCCACUCCCACGCUUGCCGCCUCCUCCCCGCCGUCACUGCCUCCUCGACGGCGACCCCAGGUGCGUGUCCUGGAGCCUGGCGACCAAGGGAGGCGGUGAGCGCGCGGGCGAGCGCGGAGAUGGAGAAGCACGGCGUCUAUCUGGGUCGGCGUGGUUCCUCCAUUUUGGAGGAAUGCAGCGGACCCGGAUCUCGUACGAAUAGUCCCAUGUGGGUUGGAUCUAACCCACAUCCUUUCUCAGCGAAACGCGGAAUGACGUGGAUCGAACCGGUUCCGACCCGCUACGUAACCAAACACACGCUUAUAUUCGCGCACUCCCGCUGGUCCGCUCGAUUGCUGCCCAGUCGUGCUCAUCCGUGGGCCUGGGAAGCAGCAAGCUUCAUCCAAAGUCAUGAGAGUACCUGUGCAGCACCAUGCAUGACGGAUCAAACUCAACGCGACUUUUGCCUGUGGCAACGCAGCGAUCUUGGACGAUGCGUAAGCCUAGGCGUCAUGCCUGCCGCAGCUAGCUAGCAGGCGUCCUGACACCGAGAAGCCUACCAUUUCGGCCGGCGCCAGUACAUAGAACACUACGGCGCACACGCGGAUCUGCUCGACUGCUCCCAAGAUACAUCUCCCAGAAACACAAGAUACAAGUAAGUCAAUGCAGCGCAUCAUCUCCGAACCGUAUAAAUUUAUUGAUAGGGUGACGGCUCUACUUUGAGCAAUUUGACUAACGAGAAAUAAUGCGAUUUUCAAUAAAUAUCAGCAAGAUCUUAUUCAAGGAGACUUAUUGUCUCCCAUAAUGGACCUAGCUACAUCACCAUAAUGACUAGAAGGAUACGAUGAUUCAAGUAUGUCGGAUGUCGGAGACUUUUGUUCGCCUCUUAUGGAUGAUCCAUUAGUUGUGUGAGUAUAUACGUAGUACGUUGCAUCUAAGUAUCUUGUUGCGGCCGCAUCGCGUUGGCGGACGCCCCAGGGAAGUUCGGGAAUGACGCGAGAAGCGCAGGGGCACAGAUGAAAUGGCGUAGGGGCCGACAACGAUGCCCACGUGGUGUUUUUUUUUCCUUGCCAAGCGUCUGUAGAGUAGGGCCUGUUUUCUUCCACUUGCUAAACUUUAGCACCCGUCACAUCAAAGUUUAGAUACUAAUUAGAAAUAUUAAACGUAGAUUAUUUACAAAACCCAUUACAUAAGACGAAUCUAAACGGCGAGACGAAUCUAUUAAGCCUAAUUAGUCCAUGAUUUGACAAUGUGUUGCUACAGUAAAUAUUUGCUAAUGAUGGACUAAUUAGGCUUAAUAGAUUCGUCUCGCCGUUUAGAUUCCACUUAUGUAAUUAGUUUUGUAAAUAGUCUACAUUUACUACUCCUAAUUAGUAUCUAAACAUUCGAUGUGACACGUGCUAAAAAUAAAACACGGGAAGAAAACGCCCCCUAAGAAUUACAACGCCUUCGGGUGUAUGUAUCCAAAAGGAUCCACCUGAUUUGUUUCGCGCGUUGGGCUCAAUCAAUCAUACUAAUCUAGUAUUACUAAAGAAGGAGAAAGGCCGCGUACCGAAUGUCUGAUUUCUCAAUCGGCCCGCUAGACGGCCUACCCACAGAAGAAAAUGGCGCUGCGUCUCCUCUAGCCAGCCCAAGUUUUCAGAAUUGUCUUGGCCCAAUCUAAAAAAGAGAGUUUGGUCGGAGAGAGGGAAUUGUUUUGGGCUCUUGGCAGACGGUAUCAUUACAGGAUUCCGUACGGCUGCGUGAUGGCACGUCGGCAGCCAGACAAAAGUUCAGAGGUAAUGUUUUUGUUCGGGUAUUUUAAUCCAAUUUUCCGGGUAGAACUAUGUGUACUAGGCGCGUGAAACUUGUGGAGACUGUGAGAUUCCAUUUUCCGGCCAGAGGGGUAUCUAAAGUUCAGAGCUAGACAAAAUUACCUUCUGUUUAUCUAUUUGGUACUGACUCGCCUAGCUACUUCGUUGGCACAGUAUAUCCAAUUAAACAACCAUCCUAAUUCCUAAACACAAGUAAAGUGUGCAAGCACCAACUCAUUAACCAUCAGCUACAACAAAAUCGCCUACACAGCAUGCCUCCCCACUCCCCCAACACGUCGCUCCGCCCCUAUCACCGGCGUCGCUAGCUCCGGCGCCGCCGCCCAAGCUCCUCCGCCACCAGCCUGCGCGCAUCUGCACACCCUCCCUCCUGCCUCCGCCGCCACAUGCCCUCCACGCUCCAUCACCUCCACCGUCCCAUCUCAUCUGCGCUCCCCAGAUCUAGGUCCACGCUCCACCGUCCAAUCCCCUCCGCGCUACCCAGAUCCACCUCAGUACUAGACAGAGACCCCUCCGCCGCCAUCGCCACGCCCCCGCCGCGCCGGUUCCUGGGAUGACCUCAUCAUCCCCCACACGACGGAGCACGAGCCCCCAUCCUUCGCGAAAGUGGUACGGAGAGGGGCGUCCGUCUUCAAAUCGCUAGCUCACCCCCAACAACUAAGACCAUGCCACCUCAGAUCCACCAUUACCAUACCUCUGAGGAGCAAUUACUACCCUGGCCAACCUCGCCGUCCUCCAGGUGUCAUCUUGGGGAGUAAUGGCCCUCUGCGCCACCAUGCCCCUUCGAGCCCUGAGCAACGGCGCCCCACGUGCAAGAUCCGCUCCGGAUCCGGGUCUGACGCCACGCCUCGCUGCCUCUCUCCAGUCACCUCGAGGAGUAAUGGCCCCUUGCGCUAUUCUGCUCCUUCGAGCAACGACGCCCCUCGCAAUCUCCGCUUCGAAUCCAAGCCUAAGCCAGAGCUAGGGUGGACUCGCAUAAGCCGGCGUCAACGACGAGGACGGACAUAGUGGCUUCAACCUGCUGUCAUCAACCACGCCCGGGACGGCCAGCAUUCAAAGCGCCCCUCAACAACCGGCACCACGCCAUUCAUCCACCUCUCCACCAGUGUUGCCUUCCUGUAGAAGACCAAAGGCCGCUGCUUCAGGUGCCUUGGCCGCGACCACAAAGCCAGUGCGUGCAGGGACCCCAUCCGGUGCCUGCGCUGCCUCCGCUCGGGGCUUCGCCGGUAGACUGCCCGCCUGUCGCAACACCAGCAACAUCGACGGGAGCUGCGGCCAGCGGCUACCACCGGCAAGAUGGCAACAAUCCGAGUCGCCAACCCUACCCUGCGGCCCAAUGAGGAUGCCCUCCACAUCCCCACCUCCUUCAAGAUCGACCACGACCUACGCGAUUGGGAGGAGAACACACUGGUCACCUCGGCCAUGCGCGUUCCACUGAGCACCACCGCGAGGAACAUCGAGGAUGCCAUUCUAGCUGAGUUUCGGCUACGUCCCAGUGAGAUCACCGUCACUAGGCAUCGCCCGGAGGCGUUCCUGAUUCGCUUCCAAUACCGGCGGCACUACGAGGAGGUCAACGCCAAGGGCUCCAUCAAGUACCAUGGCAACGAAGUCUGCGUCAGGACAUGGCGCAGCCUCACUGGAGCUCUCGGCGCGGCAUUAUUCUACUGCGUCCGCAUCUGCCUCGACGGGGUGCGGAGGCACGCCUGGUUGUCAGACAUUGUCGAGCGGCUCAUCGACCAGAACUACGCACUGCAAUGCAUUGACACCAAUCUUCUUCACCUGACGGACACGCGCGACAUCGAGCUGUGGGCAUGGACGGCCGAACUGAGCAAGAUCGCAAAGGUGAUGUGGCUUAUCUUCACAACCUGCUCCAUGGAUGGAUCGUCCUCCUCUGUGCAAAUCAAUGAAGUCCCGCUCGAGCGCUGGCAACGUGGGCUAAAACAUCAUGUCCUUGUCCACUUGUGGGAAAUCCAAAACUACUCCAUGGUCACCGCGGACCCACAUGACCUGAACGUGCCGGUUUGAGAGCUGGAGAAGCGGUGGUGGCCUAGUACUGGGGAGUCAGGGACGGCGACCCAGAGUCGACUCCUGCCUUCCCACCAUUCCAGCACCCACUUCCAUCACGCACGAAGCGGCGCGAUGAGCGCAGGGACAACAACCAUCGUGGCGGUGCAUGGCGUGAAGGCGGCGACAACCACCCUGACUUCCACAACUGGCAGGGGUGGCGGGAGGACAACGAUGAUGAUGGUAACGGUGAAUGGCACCAUGAGACACGUGGCCACGGUGACUCCAGGGACUCCAGAGGAUCUGAGCGCGACACGCCGCACCAUCGCAAUGGGGGCAACGUCAACCAGGGAGGCAGGCGCCGAAGCAUGGACGGUGAAGCCUCACCGUGCGUUGUGAACCGCAAGGCUACAGACUUCAAGCUCCUCUUCGACCUUCAGGUUGGGUCUAUGGCGGAAGCAGCACAUAAGAUAUUCAACUUGCAGAGGCAUCCCCCACCAGCGGCGCCACGCCCGAUACUGGACAUACUCGGGAAGGCAUCAAGCAUCAUCGACUCGAUCGGGGAUGAAGCCUGGUUCAACAACAAUAGCAACAUAAAUGAAAACACAGAGGUAACAGCACCAAACGCUCAACUGGAUGUGCCUCUCCAUCGAGUUAUCACCAGAAUCACCUCUGCCUUGCCUCCCCAAACAACCCAUCCAUCCAGGAGGUGGACGACGCGCUGCAUAGGCUUUCUGCUCACCUGGAGCCGCUCGUGCACACACUCCAGAGUGACUAGCUUGUGGAGCAUCCUGUGGAGCAGGGGCCAAGCAUCACCAGUACGCACUAACACCUCCUCGCGGCGCCGUUGAAUACGGAGAGCGCCAUCGACGACCAAGCCCUGCAGGCAGAAGCAGAACAUGACCGCACAGCAGAUGCCUGGCGACCGAUGGCGUGGCAGGUCUCUUCACCAUGCCUUCACAGCCGGUUCUGCCACCACUGGAACAGCCAAGAGCAUCUUCACCUACACCGGCUCCAGUUCAUCGUCGCCGGCGCCGUGUUUUCGACAUGACUUCGGUACGUUGCAACGUUCAUCUCUCCACAGUUUGCCCUAUGAUGGCAAUGCAGAGAGCGCAACGCAACCUGUGUAGGAAAAUUAGACUCCUAGGUGAUGAACUUGACCCUGUGGAGAGUGCCCUGCAUGAGUUCCUUGCUAUGUUCACAGGACCACUGCCACAAGACAUUAUCCCGGCACUGACAGAGAUCUUCAACAUCAACAACGCUGACGCCGAUGAGCUGGACGAUGCCAUGAUUGCAUUGGUGGGUGAAGGGGUUGACGACCUUCCAGGGGAGAUGGCUACCGCGCAAGCAGUGGCAUGACCGCACGCCGCCCCUACUGUGUGUCAUUCUAGUUGCAAAUGAAUUGCAAACUUCAUAUACUGUCAUGCUCCCCAGAGGCAGCGUUCUACGGAGGCCUCACGUAUCCUACCUCAACUUUCAAUUGGGUUGUAACUCUUAACACAACAAUCUACGAUCAGAACUUUGAUUUGGUUGUAACCUUUAAGACGAUACCCUACGACAAUUUUGACUGGGCAACGACUACGCUACGCAACGGUUAUGGCUCGAGCCCACAUCCACAAAUUGCCUGUCAAACGUUCCUAAGCUCUCCAUCUCCUCAUGAUUGACGUCAACCUAAAUAUCAUUAGCUGGAACAUGAGAGGUCUUAACCAGCAAGCCAGAAAAGAUACAGUGCACCAGUUCAUGGACUCCACUCUAUGCCACUUAGCCUGCCUACAGGAAACCAAAUUAGCCAGCAUCGAUUCGUUCACAGCUGUGUACCUCGGCGGCUACCGCAUGCGUAAACACGCAUACAAACCGGCUUGGGGUCCGUCACGAAUAAGAGGUGGCAUCCUCCUCCUAUGGAAUGAAGACUACAUUGAGAUUUCCAACAUCGCAAUAGGCGAUUUCAGCAUAAUGGCAGAUGUCCUACUGCAAGAAUGCCUACAGAGUUUUAGACUCAUGGUAGUCUAUGACCCUUCACGUCAAAACGAGCAGCAUUGGUUCCUUAGCGAACUUCAGGCACAAAAACCUGUUGAACCAACCAAGUGGCUAGUUGUGGGAGAUUUCAACCUCAUCUACAAAGCCUCAGAUAAAAACAACAACAACCUCAACCGAUGGCUUAUGAGUGACUUUAGGGACACGCUCGAUAGGUGCGACCUUAAGGAAAUUCCUCUACAAAAUCGGAAAUUCACGUGGAGCAAUGAACAAUUGCAACUAAUUAUGGUAAAGCUAGACAGAUUUUUCUGCAACCCCGACUGGGACAUAAGCUUCAGGUGAAACACACCGCAAGUGCUAUCAACGUCACAUUCCGACCACUACUCGUUGCUACUAUCAAAUUCCACGGGGCCAAGAAAGCCAGGAUCGUUCAAAUUUGAAAAUUUUUGGGCAAAAUUGCCAAGAUUCAAAGAAGUCAUCACGAACGCACGGAAUGCACCAAUAGAACAUUACGACCCUUUCCACAUACUGUACCAUAAACUCCUCCGCACCUAACAGGAGCUGCGAGUAUGGAGCAGUGGUCUUAUAUCUGAUGCAAGACAACGACUAUAUACGGCAAUGGAGGGCAUACUGCGUCUGGACAUCGCGCAAGAGCACCGACCACUCACCCAAGGCGAGCAACAACUACGAGCACAACUCAAAAAGAGGGAACUAGGGCUAGCUGCAGUUGAAAGAAUGAGAAGGAAACAAGCAUCAUGUAUAACAAAUCUCAAGGCAAGAGACACGAACUCGCGCUUCUUCCAUCGAAAAGUAAAUGCACGCAAAAGACAUAAUCACAUUCAAAGACUGCAAAAUGAUUCCGGAUGGGCUGUUUCCCAUGAAGAAAAAGCGGCAGUCACUCAGCAACACUUCAAGAAUGCCCUCCACUGAUCACCGCAGCGCAAGAAUGACAUCAAUUGGGAUAUGCUAAACUUGCAGCGCCACAACCUAGACGACUUGGAAGCCCAAUUUACCAAAGAGGAAAUCAAAAGAGCCAUUCACCUCCUACUAGCCAAAAAAGCCCCAGGAUCGAACGGAUUCAUCGAAAUUUUCUUCAAAGAAUGCUGGGAGACUAUCAAGCAAGACGUAAUGAAUGCGGCAAAUGCGUUUUACCUCCUUCGGACAGACAACUUGAGCCUUUUAAACUCAGCCAACAUCAUCUUGCUACCCAAGAAGGAGGAGGCCAACUCAAUCAGUGACUUUUGCCCAAUUAGUCUGAUUCAUUCGUUCAUCACAAUCCUCGCAAAAGCUUUGGCAAUGUGGCUAGCGCCUGUGAUGACCGGCCCGUAAUCCCCCGGGUUAACCUUAUAUCCUAGCCCUGAUCGUCUGUCUUGUUUUACCGCGCUUGAGUGCUCAGCCUCCCGCCCGGCCCCGAGCCCUGAGACUCGACCCCUCCCCGCCUCGCUUCGGUCCCGACCCCGGCAAACCCAGCCCACCGUCAGAUCCUUCUACGUCCUUCACAAAUGCCGUUCUGUCCCACCAGUGGACCCGCGAGAUCUUUUCCCCCAGAUCUUCCGUGGCAGGUGCACUCGAGUUGCAUGCCCGCUUCAGAGUCUCCCCGCCGCGUGGCUCAUCUUCUCCGAUGCCCGCCGCUCAGUUUUGUCUCUGGCUCGCGACCGAAUGGAUCCACGCGCCCCCUUCCCCAAUGGCGGCGGAAGCCCCUCUGCAACCUUUCUGCAGCGCCUCGCCUCCCGCGCUCAUCAUCACACCGCCAGAUCCCGGCCGCAGAGCCCGAUGUUGCCCGUCUUUUCCGUCACUUCGAACACAGUCGCGCCGCCCGGUCUCCGCUACACGACGAUUCCUCCAUCGCCAACCCCGACCACGGCAGCGACAACUCCUUUCCCCGCCCUGUCAGAAGCCGCCCGACAAUCUGUUGCUCCGCGCUCGCCCGCGCGCCCGCAGCUGCAUGUCUUUUCACCUGUGCGCCCUCGAUUCUAGCGCCGUUUAACCAGUCGCUUCUAUCAAAUCUUCCGCACGACGACACCCGCCUCCGCCAAAUCUCAACCACCGGCAUACCCGCUCCUGCGCCGCCCUGACGGCAGAACCCAAUGACCGCUGGCGUCAUCCCCGAGUCCUACACCACCACCCCCAUCGCUCAAUCGUCGCCCCGGCAGAGCACUCCAUUGCUUCUCCCCGGCCUUCGCGCCGCUUCCCUUCUCUCUCUCCCGCGCCGCUUCCCUUCCCCAUUCCAGCAGCUAUAAAAGGGAAUGCACCAGCCGCCGGAGUUCCCUCCGCCAUUGUUGCCUUCAGCCAUUCUCUUGCUCCCUGCUCAAGCUCCUAGCGCCACACGCCAAGUUCUUGAGGAACUCUUCCCUCAGCUCCCCUCAGUUUUCCAAGUCACCCAGCCGCUUGCUCCUCCGUGCUGCGUAAAAGCUUACUUGUGAUCCGCAAGAAGCAUCGCCGCUCCCGGAGCACUACCGGUCUUAGCCGUUGUUCAAAGCUUUAAUCCCUCCGCCCAAGUCUGCUCUUCCCGACCCCAAGCUUUCCUUUUAGGAAGAAGGUAAGCUGCCGACCCCAGUACGCCUCGCCCGACCCCUCUUAUCCGCCCGACCCCGGUUUUGUCUCGCCCGACCCUAUCUGUUCCGCCGACCCUUAUCCGCCUCGCCCGAGGGUUCGACUGUGAUCCUUUUCUUCAACCCGAGGGUGUAUGUGUAAAACUUAGGAACCCUUCAGCGCUUGCGUCUGAGGAUCCCUAGUAUGCCACAUCCUCUAGUUCAAGGGUCAGAUCAUAAGUUCCUUUCCGACCCUUGUCUUUUGAUCUUCACCAGCUCCCUUGAACCUCCCCACCCUCCUGCUCUUUGUCGCGAGUUUCUGGGCUCAGGCGAGCAAGUGUUGCUGUUGAAAUAACCGUCUAAGCUAACUCCUGCAUUGCAUUCGUGUAGAGCUGUGCCUCGCCGACGGCUUCUACGAGCUACACCCGGUGCCAGAAGACGACGCUGUAGCUGAGCUCCUGCCCGCCGAAGUCGAAGUCGCCCCCGAAGUCGAGCAGUUCUCUUCCUCCUUGCUCGAAGGCAAGCCCCGGUUGCAUGAAAACCCUGCGUGUUUUACCAAACUUGCGCAUGCCUUCUGUAACAUGUUUGUGCAUUUACGUAUAGGAGUUGUUUGAAACCCUAGAUGCAUGACUUAGUUAUCCCCAUGAUCUGAGCACUAGCUGUUGGACCGAGUAGUUGUAUUUCUUAACUAGGAAACGGUAAAAGCCGAGUGAUUUCCUGUCACUCGCGAGUUGUAGGAGUUGGAUGUCUACCUUUUUGUUAUAACUAUAAGGACGAUGGACAGGGCAGGGUUUUGGUAACUCUUUGGUGGACGGAUGGUCGCCCCGUCUGUCUAUGAAAACUUGCUAAGGCCCGACAGUGGUGGUGUUCGUGAUCAAGUGUUUGAAAGUACUAGCCUCAUACUUAGUAUGGGAUGAGGAAGCCUAGUACCGGAUUGAACCUAGACGUGAGCGGUCGCCCCAUUGUUCUUGGAACGGAGUUUCCCCUGCUGGAUGUUGCACGUGGUGGCAUGCGUGGUCACAGAACGGCAGAGGCCGGGUCUGUGGAACCUUGCACCAAAGGAAAUGGGCCCGACACGGGUUAGGGGAUUGAUGGGGACGGCCGACACAGGAAGCGACCUCCGGGUGCGUGGAUGUCGUGGGGCUAGGUUCACGAUGCAUGGUUAAAGAACUCGAAUCGAUUCAUCUGCCUCUCACAGUUUGAGAUUGCUUGAUCGCUAUGUCACCCUGAGUAAAUGAGGAAUCUGAUGAUGACAUGUUUGUUGAUAUAUCUACACAUCUUGUUUGGUUCUAUGAUUGCUUAGAAUAGGUUGCAAAACCUAGACUGGUAAAUGAACCUAGAACCGGAGCUAAAACUUGAAAAUAGGGUUUUUACUUAGUGCUUUUGGGCAAACAAACCCCUCAGCCAAAAAGCCCUGCAUGUCUAGAAGGAGGAGUAGUUUUACUCCUAUCGGUUAAGUCUUGUUGAGCUUAGUAGCUCAGCCUUCUUGUGGCUCCUAUUUUUCAGGUGAAGCUGCUGCUCCUAACCCCUCUCUUGCCGGCGCUUGGCCGCCCCAGCUCCCGCCGAGGUGGACGGUCGAGUGGGAUCCCUCCUCGGACGGCGAGGAGAGGGAUCAGUGAUGUCCCGGCCGGCCUCACCAGGACAUCCGACCCCGACGAUUGCUUCCGCUAGUGUUUUAUCUCCUGUUGUUUUCCGAAAUCUUGUAAAACUCUGAUGUUCUUUUCGAAACUAAUUAAUUCAGUUGUUAAUUUGUUAACUUGGUGGACUUGUUGUACUCUCUGGAACUGCUCACCUUCGUGUGAGUCUGCUAAAUCGGUCCUGUUCAAGUGGUUAAAUCGGAGGAAAAUCCGACGGCACUUCGUGUUUACCCGACUUAGGCAUGAGCGUCGCAUAUCAGGCGGCUAAAACAUGUCUAACCCGGUAGAUCCGAAGUGGAUCCGCCACAGCGCCCCACAUGGAAACGAUCGUCUCCAGACACCAGAGCACAUUCAUCAAAAAGUGAAGCAUUCACGACAAUUUUAUGUAUAUCCGAUCCACGGCUAGACGUCUCCAGUGAAGUAAAUGCCCUGCCUUGCUAAUCAAACUGGACAUUGCCAAGGCCUUCGAUUCCAUCAGGUAGGACUACCUUCUCUCUCUCAUGCAAAUACUAGGUUUCCUUGUUUGAUGGUGCAAUUGGGUAGCUGCACUCCUGUUUACUUCAUCGUCACGCGUCCUACUCAACGAGGUGCCAAACGGGCCUAUCCAACAUGGGAGGGGGCUGAGAUAGGGGGAUCCACUGUCCCCCUUGUUGUUCGUCAUCGCAAUUGAUCCGCUACAGAAGCUUCUGAAAUUAGCAACUGACCGAGGGCUACUCUCUAAAUUACAAGGCCGUGCAAAUGAUCUAUGGAUAUCGAUGUAUGCGGACAACACGACCAUCUUUGUCAACCCAACGCAAGCAGACAUAGCCACCCUGGUCGAAAUUCUUUCAUGUUUCGGUGAUGCCACAGGUCUCGACACCAAUUUCCACAAAUCAAUGGUAGUACCAAUUCGAUGUGCAAGCGUGAACAUGGACGACGUCCUUUAUAACUUCCCAGUGCAAAGAUCUCAUUUCCCCAUCAAAUACUUGGGUCUUCCGCUAACCACUAGAAGGCUUCGACGCAUUGACUUUCAACCUCUAGUGGACAAGGCGGCGGCAAAAAUGACUUCAUGGAAUGGGAAGAAUAUUAGCUACGCGGGAUGAUUGACGCUCGUCAAAUCAGUCCUCACAUCACAAGCUGUCUACUUCCUCACGGCCUUGCGUGCGCUGAAGAGCGUAUUAAAGGAAAUAGAUAGUAAGAGGAGGACAUUCCUUUGGGCAGGAUCCGAGGCUCUCACAGGCGCCAAAUGCAUAGUAAAUUGGCCAAGAUCAACUCAUCCAAACAAUUUGAGGGGCUUGGGCAUCCUUCACUUUGGCAAAUUCGCGCGAGCACUGCGUUUACGCUGGCUAUGGAAAGAUUGGGUGGAAGACUGCAGGUGCUGGGAUGAUCAUGACUUACCUUGCAACAAAAUAGGUAAGCUCCUAUUCGCGACAGCAUCCUCAAUAAUUGUGGGCGACGGUGCGCGAACUUUGUUCUGGAAGAGCUCAUGGCUACAAGGAUGACGACCUUGCGAUAUAGCACUAAAUAUUUUCAAGAUCUAAAGGAAGAAAAAAAAGGUCAUUGAAGGAGGCGUUAACUCACAACAGUUGGGUCCGCGACAUAAAUCUGCACCAUACGGAAUUUUUUGGCUCGGCACUUCAUCGAAUACAUCAAACUGUGGAGGGCAGUAAGAGAGGUUGACAUAAGGGAAAAUGUGCAAGACUCCAUCUCUUGGAAGUUCACAAAAAAAAGGGGAGUACAUAGCAGGUUCAGCAUACAGAGUGCAGUUCAUCGGAGCUGAGAAGACAAACAUGAAGAUUCUCAUUUGGAAGACUUGGGCUCCUCCAAAAUGCAAAUCCUUCGCUUGGCUGGCCAUCCAGAACCAGGUUUGGACAACAGACAUACUACAGGUGUAAGGCUAGGCAAACUCAGGGCAUUGCCCCCUACGUAGACGAGAGUAGGAGACAGGACGCCAUCUGUUCACAGAGUGCCACUACACCAAGCGAAUAUGGAACGAGAUGGCGACAUGGGUGUCCAGUGGCGGCCUCCGACCCGCGAGCUGGCAGAUGCAACUUUCCAUCCACCAAUGGUGGACAAACCUAGCUGGCGAAGACCGACGCGGACUAGAUAAGGAAUCAUCCUCGUAUGCUGGGUCAUCUUGAAGGAACGCGACGCAAGGAUUUUCGACCGCAGGGAGUCUACAACACAACAGCUCAUGCAGGACAUUAAGAACGAGGCAUCCAUGUGGAUAGCAACAGGGGCAAAACACCUGGUGGUAGCUAGGACAGCCGCCAGUAGUUUCCAAGUUUUCUCUUUUCGUGAGUAUGAGCGCUAUCCGCCAUUCAUUGAGGUGUUGUAUUUUUUAAACUAUUUGUGCCCGUCUGAUCAUCGCUUCUUUUUAAUAUAACAGGCAGCUCUCGUGCCAGUUCGUUUUGAAAAAAAAACUCAUCAACCAUCCAUUCAUCCUAUAAGUAGAGCCAUUAUUAGACCACAAGCUAUUGUCCAAGGCAAGUAGAGGCAUACUGUGUCGACCCAUAGAUUGCCGAGUUUGCACUUUGCACCGAAGUCCAUCGCUACCUUAUGGCCAACACAAAGACAAAUUGCAGUUCUUCCAUGCAAGAGCAAGACACCAGCCAUGCGCCAACACCGCCAAGCACCCCGCGCUGGCCGUCGCCGCUGGUCAUAUUCAGCGCCUGCCUCGUCCUCCUAGGCGCCGGCGGCCUGCUCCUCCUCCGCGUCUACUUCGUCCACGGGGUACGGCGCUUGUGGCUGUCCACCCUGAGCCUGCUCUCCGGCUGGCCGCUCCUCGUCCCGCCCAUCUGCAUCUCCCUCUUCCGCGGCCGCAGGGAAGGGAUUGCCAACCACCUCCUGCCCGCGCGCCUCGUCGGCGCCGUGGCCUUGCUCCGCGGGCUCUUCGCCGUGGCGUGCUUCGUCUACUCGCUGGGAGCGCAGUCGCUGCCCGUCUCCACGUCCUCGCUGCUGCUGGCUACGCAGCUCGCGUUCAACGCGGUGUUCGCGUUCCUGUUCGUCGGGCUCCGGUUCACGCCGUUCUCGGCCAACGCCGUCGUCCUGCUCACCCUCGGCCCGGCGGUGCUCGGGGUCGGGCCGCCGUCGGGGAAGCCGGCGGGCGAAGGUUCGAGGACGUACUGGACAGUGUUCUGCGAGGCCAUCGCCGCGGCAGCGCUGGCCGGGCUCGUGCUGCCGCUCGUCGAGGUCGCCAUGGCGCGCUACGGCCGGCGCACCGGAGCUGCCGCGAGAGUGCCACCCCCUUACGUGACGGUGAUGCAGAUGCAGGUCGUGAUGGGCGCGGCUGGCACGAUGGUGUGCCUGCUCGGCAUGGCCGUCAAGGGAGACUUCCGGGCCAUGCCAAGGGAGGCCCCCGAGUUCGGGCUUGGCAAGACCAAGUACUGCCUGGUGUUCAUCUUUGAAGCCGUUUCGUGGCAGCUUUUCAACCUGGGGAUCAUGGGCCUAAUCAUUUGCGUGUCGUCGCUGCUCACCGGCGUCAUGAUCGCCGUCCUGCUACCGCUGUCCGAAGUCCUCUCCGUCAUCUUCCUUCACGAGAAGUUCGACGGAACGAACGGCAUUGCCUUGGUGCUCUCACUGUGGGGCUUCGUGUCCUACCUCUACGGUGAGAACGCGCAGAAGAAACUGGAGGCGAAGAAGAUAGCGCCGCAGAAAUGUAUGCGAGACGUCGUCUUAAAAGAACAGCAUCUGCAACAUUGACAUCAAAGCUUGAUUCUCUGCGAGGGGGGUAAAAAAAUCCUGCACCAACAUUGACAUCACGAGACUUUGUGAAUCAUGGCUCAGUACGAUCGAAGCAAGGCACUGAGGAGAGAAUCUCGUAAAAAUCUGUAGUUUUAAUUUUUUUAAAAAAACAGAGUAUUUGAAUAAAAUUUUCGAUCACCGCUGUGUUCCUUGCCGCAAGUAACAGUACAAUCAAUACUUGAUUUGGAUAAUUUAUUUGGAAAGUUAUGGAUUUUUUCUUUAUUUCCAAUCUUUUGUCUGUACGAGGUGAUGCGUUAACGCUUUAGCCCGUUUGGUUCUUCAGUCCGGACUAAAAUUUCUAUUACAUCGAAUAUUUAGAUACUAAUUAGAAAUAUUUAACAUAGACUAAUUACAAAACCAAUUGCACAUGGAGGCUAAUUUACGAGACGAAUCUAUUAAGCCUAAUUAGUCCAUGAUUUGACAAUGUGAUGCUACAGUAAACAUGUGCUAUGAUGGAUUAAUUAGGUUUAAUAGAUUCAUCUCGUGAAUUAAUUUUAUAAUUAGUUCUUCUAAUUAGUCUUCAAAUAUUCGAUAUCACCGGAAUUUUAGUCCGCCCUAUAACCAAACGGGACCUCUGCGUUGAUGCAUGGCACUCUCGUGGGCCGUGUCUGGGCUGUGGGCGCGCACGGCCGACGUGACGUCGCGCGACUAAUCAAAUCGCCGUGUGAACGUCUUCUACCCAGUUACUGGGCCUACCCCGUGAACCACGAGGCAAAUGGGGCCCCUGGCUCGCCGGGAUCCGCCUCCGACCGAUACUGGCGGUCCCCGUCCGUGUCGCAGUCGCACGCGGCACAUGCGUGUGGAUUUAUGAAAAGGGGUGGUUUGGAUACGAGAUAUUAAAUUUUUGGAGAAUGAUGUGCGAUCGUUAAUUAGGAGAAUUAAAUAUGAGCUAAUUAUAAAACUAACUGUAGAACCCCUACACUAAUUCACAAGACGAAUUUAUUAAACCUAAUUAAUCCAUCAUUAAUAAAUGGUUACUGUAGCACCACAUUGUCAAAUUAUGAACUAAUUAGGUUUAAUAGAUUCAUCUUGCGAAUUAAAUUCUAUCUGUGCAAUUAGUUUUGUAAUUAGACUAUAUUUAAUACUCCUAAUUAGUAUCAAACAUCCUAUGAGAAUAGAUACUAAAGUUUAGGGUGGGUUGCCAAAGAGCUCAGCAUCUAUGCAAGCACCAUCGACUCCCCACAGUCAUCCACACCAUAUCGCCAGUCGUCACUUACUCCAUGCAAUGCAAGGCAUAAGCAAUGCGCCAACGCCGCCGCGCUGCUCGUUGUCGCCGCUGGUCGUACUCAGCGCGUUCCUCGUCCUCCUCGGCGCCGGCGGGUCGCUCCUCAUCCGGGCCUACUUCGUCCACGGCGGCCGGAGGCUGUGGCUUUCCACCAUGAUCCAGUUGUCCGGCUGGCCGCUCCUCCUCCCGCCCAUAUGCGCCUCCCUGCUCCUCCGCAGCCGGAGCAGGGACGGCGCUGGCGGCGGCGUCGCCGACCACCUCCCCCCUCCGCGCCUCGUCCGCGCCGUGGCCGUCCUCGGCGCGGUCUUCGCCGUGGCGUGCUUCGCGUACUCGCUGGGGUCGCAGGCCCUGCCCCUGUCCACGUCCUCGCUGCUGCAGGCGACGCAGCUCACCUUCAACGCCGUCUCCGCGUUCCUCUUCGCCGGGCUCCGCUUCACGCCCUUCUCGGUCAACGCGGUCGUCCUGCUCACCAUCGGCCCGGCGGUGCUCGGGUUCGCGCCGUCGUCGGAGACGGAGGCACAAGCUGAAGGCUCGACGGCGUACUGGACGGGGUUCUUGGAGUGCAUGUCCUCGGCCGCGCUAAUUGGGCUCGUGCUGCCGCUGGUCGAGGUCGCCAUGUCGAGGUACGGGCGCCGGGACGGCGGCCCCGCCGCCGCGAGAGCGCCGCCUCCGUCGUACGCGACGGUCAUGCAGAUCCAGGCCGUGAUGGGCGCGGCCGGCACUGCGGUGUGCCUGGUCGGCAUGGCCAUCGCGAAGGACUUCCAGGCGAUACCGACGGAGGCCGCCGCGUUCGGGCUCGGCGAGACCAACUACUACCUGCUGCUCAUCUUUGGGGCCGUCUCGUGGCAGCUCUCCAACCUGGGGAUCAUGGGGCUCAUCGUCUGCUCCUCGUCGCUCCUCGCCGGCAUCAUGAUCGCGCUUGUCCUGCCGCUCUCGGAGGUCCUCGCCGUCAUCUUCCUCCACGAGAAGUUCGACGGGGUCAAGGGCAUCGCGCUGGUGCUCUGCCUCUGGGGCUUCGUCUCCUACCUCUACGGCGAGAGCGCGCGGAAGAAGAUGAAGGCUACCGGCAAGCAGGUGGCAGAGGGAAGUAAAGACCUGGAGUCAAUCCGUUGCCCCCUGGUGGCACCUUAAUGUUUCUAAAAUGUUUUUAGUUCCCACUUCCCACCGUGCUUGGUUGGUGAAUCUGUCCACAUUGGACAGAUUGCACUGUUCAUGCAUGUGGUAGGUACAGUAGCUUUAGUGAUCUGUCUGCUAAAGCUCAUCUAAUAAAGGAAGUUGUUUGUUUAGGCAAACAGUUAGACCAGAUACCGAGCUCUCCAGUUCCAAAGAACAAUACUCCGAAAACUCGUGUUUGCCUAUUCAAUCUAUACCAAAAGGUGCUCCGGGACUUUGCAGUUUUGAGUGCUGUUGUACCAUGAGCUAACAGAAUCCGUAAAAUGAUCUGGUACUCCACAUAUAGGAAACUGAUAUCUCACUUCUCAAGGAGUACCAGUUACUAAAAAAAAAUCUCAAGCACCAAAUUUUGGUAUCACUCAUAUUCGUAUAUAUACGUAGUGAUACCACUUUAGGAACGGGUAAAGAGGAGCUCUAUGAUCUUGUGUACAUGUCCAUCCGUGUUCCUUUUCUUUUCUUUGUUUUAAAAAUGUUUAUUUGAGAAAAGUGUACACGAUACUCCUUCAAACAGUUGAUUGAUGGUUUAUAUGGCGCUAGUAUAACGGGACCGGCCCAUUUGGCGAAGCAUUUCCGUGCAGCCCAGCCCAGCCCAGCCCGCCCCCCCCAAAAAAAUAAAUAAAUUCUCCUCAAAGGGCUUCUGACGUCCGCUCAGCUGGCCCAUGGGCCACAACAGGUUCUGCUUUUCUCUGGACGUCCUUUUCCUUCUUGUUAUUAUUUACCGUCGUCCGAGACCCUCAAACCCAAGACAAAUUAACUACCAGCCACAACAACUGGCUCCAACAGUCCAACACUUUUUUUAAAACCAACCAAGCAGGAGCUGCAGAUUAUAUUAAUAUAGAAAAAAACUAGACUAGACAACAAUGACCUCGUAGGGGUUGACAACAGAUAGGCUAGACAAUAAUGACCUCGUAGGGGUUGACAACAGAAGAAAUAUAAAGUUACAAACUAAACUACGACUUAAUAUAACAACUCCACCAACAAACAACUUCAUUCAGUCACAGCAUGAGCCAUGGCAACACAACAUCCUCAGUGAAGGCAACACCUAACACAGAGAUAAAAGAAAGUUCCACCAACAACUCCAAGAAGGCAUGACCUUUCAAAUUCAUAAGUGGCUUGAGGUCGUUUGAUGGCAACAAUUCUUUUAGGCGGUCUGCAUAGUCUUGAAUUACAUCCUCGUUGAGCUUCCCGUCAUUCCCAAGAAUACCCAAAUCUUUUAACACCUUACGCUGGGCAAUGCGAGCACUUCGACGAAGCGACGAUUUAUCGUAAGUUUGCAUCGACGUCUUGCUAGGACGGUGGUGAAGGGGUGUGUGUGUAAGAGGACUUCCAAGGUCCUCACCUUUCCUAGCUUUGGUGGAUGGAGAAGACACAACCUCUAUCGGUGGAUCCUCUAUUAUCAUUGGAGCCUCUUCUAUCUUGACCUCAACCAUAGAAUAGGAAGGGCUAUCUUCGAUGGUGAUGAGAAAGAUGGGGUCUUCAAUUGUCACAUGUGCAUCUAAGAUAGCUUCCUCAUCAUCAGAUGCGUCCUCCACUAGAACAACAUCCUCCACAGAGGUGAUGAUUUGUAGCAACAUUUGUUCAAUGGGUGAGUCUGGGUGCAUCAGUGUAGUGGAGGUCCCAAAAGGCACCUCAAUGGCAUGCUCUGCAGAUGUCUUUUGGUGAAACUCAGUGUCAUAUGCCCCUCUGGGCACCUCCUCAUUUGUGACAGGCUCCACCUCUCUGUGAGUCUCUAUGGCAGAGAUCCUUGUUGUCAUCUCAUUGAUGGUGGAGUUUGCAAUGUUCACAUAUGUGUCUUGACACACCAAGGAGUCAGCAAAUGUGCAAACCGCUGCAAGAGAAGUGAGGAUCGACGGUGUUGGAGAGUGAUGAAUGGGAGAACAUGGGCCGAAGAGCUCGGCCAUGUCGGAUGGCAUGACACACUCCAAAUGGUUGGCCACACGUGCUAGCCGCAGCUUGAUGGCAGAAGUCUUCUCCCUAAGUGGGCGCAACACUUCCUCCAAACAAACUGCAAUCUUGUGUUGGAGCUCUGAUCACAACAACUCCACCAAAGGUGCAACCAUGGACUGUAAGUUCAAUGAUAUCGAAGCAGAAGUGUCACAAUGACUAUGGUAGAUAGGAUCGAUGUUCUUUUCACAAGAACCAAUGGGUCGAGAAGCCGACGAGAUGUUGAGAUGUUCUUGCGACUUGGACCCAGCCGCAAUGUCUGCACAAAAAGUAGAGCAACAUGCACUUGGCGAAGGCGUGGCCACUACAACAACCCAACUCCAUUUUUGUAGAGGUUGCACAUUGGAGUCAACUUGCGGGGUUGGAGAGGGAGACUGAAGGUGAUAGUGUCGCUCCCGAUGUCCUUGCUGGCGACAACGAAUGCAACGGAAGUAGUCCCUGCAUGAGCUAACUUGGUGGUCACGUGCGAGCCAACGGUAAUAUCUACCUUGAGCCCAUCUCUUGAAGGCGACGCUCCGCUCAGAUUGUGAAGAUCGUAGUGGCGGUGAUGAAAGCAAUCAGUGCCCGUAGCCUAAGAGGGGGAGGGGGUGAAUUAGGCAAACUUAAAACCUUAACCUAUAGCUUCCACUACUUUUGCAUAAAACAUAAACUAGAUCAUGCUAUCAAGAUGUGCAACUAAGGUUGAUCUAGUCUCAAAAUAAGUUUUGCAACCUAGAGCCAAUCCUAUCAAGUUGUAAGUAUGAAAUGCAGAAAUGUAAGAGGUGAGGAUGAGGGGAAGCAAACUCUUGACAUGAUGAUUUAUCUUGUGGUAUCGGUAGGCACUAAGCCACCACUAGUCCAUGUUGUUGCAGCACUCACAUGCGAGUAUUGCUUCCCGAUCACCAAGUCUCUUCUGGGACACUCCUUGACUUGCCACAAAGGCUUGACCACUAAGGCUCAUGCCAAGUUCCCCGAUCACCUUGAUGCCUCUCCACUAAGGAGCUUCUCCACGAAGGAAGGGGGUCUCCACGUCCCCCACACACGGUUGUUGACACCGCUCCACACCAAGCCAAAGGGUCAAAGAAUUGCUGGUGAGCCACCAAGGCUCCAAGGCGCCGACACACCUUCUACAGAUGUGGUUCACUUCUUGAACCGAUCAUAAGGUAGGCACACAUUGCUCUCUCUCUUAUCUAGAUCUAUCCUAGAACUAAUCACUCUUCUAAGCUUGUGUUAAGCCUUUGAUAAAUCACUUAGGCAUUUUCGUGGCUUGAAUGUGUUGUUGAUGAGUCUUGAACUCCAAUGGAUUCCUGCACACUCCAGCAACUUCAAAUGGGCGAAUGGAGAGGGUAUAAAUAGCCCAAGGCAUCAAAGAGCCGUUGCUCGAACGGCUAGUUAAAGUAUAUCAUCGGAUGUUCCGAUGGUCCAUUUUGGCAUGCAUCGGAACAUACGGUGCAACUAACCAUUGGCCUCCCUGCGCCCAAGUUCUUCAUUGACACAUCCAAAAUUCAUCUGACGCUUCAUCCGAUGGUACUGUCGGAACAUCCGGUGUUGAAGAGCUUCUAGCCAAAAACUCUCUGGAACUUUGCAAAGUAAAUAUGCUUCGUCCGACGCUUUUCAUGACCCACCAUCGGAUCAUCCGAUGCUAUAGGUUUUUUUCAUCUUCCAAUCGUUCUCCUUAGAAUUACUCUGACGCUACUAAAAAAUAGGGCAUCAGAACAUCCGGUGGUCCUAACUUAGAUAACCUUCUGCGCGGUGUACCAAUUGCUCCGAUGUUUACUUUGACGCUUGCUACGGUGGACCAUCAGAACAUCUGGUGGUACUGAUUUUUCUGUGUUAAAUACCACCACUUGCACACCGAAGAUACCAUCAUUUGGAUGCUCUAGAAUUUGGAUGCUUGAAUACCAUAGAAUAAUCCUAGAUACCAUGGCUUAGUCACUCGAAUACCAUAGCUUAGAUACUUGAAUACCAUGAUUUGGACCUUGCGAUGGUUUGGUUUGCAUACUUGGGAUGUAGAAAAAACUACAAGGUACAUGCUAGAAAAAGCAUUAGUCCCAAUAACUAUGUUGUCACUCAAUCACCAAAAUCAUAAACUAUGAUCUAACGGGGCCAUGUUCACUAUGGGUGAUUUUUUACGGUGGAGGCAAACCUUCAUCUCCAGGCACCCGCGGUGGCUCCACGAAUGAAGCUGCAAAACCCACUUUGCUCCCCUCAGGCACAAUGUCAGGCUGCUUAGGCAGCAUAGUAUCGUCUCAGGGGCCAACCAACAUGGUAGCGGAGGGGGAUUGAGGUUGAAUGACUCGGAGAUGACCUGCUGGCCAAACUUGUUAACGAAUACAGUUGCAAGAGAUGGAGGUUGAUGCACCGCAAACAACGUAGCGGUGGAUGGGCGAGGCGAUCCCUUGCAGUGCAGGGUGCAGCCUGAGCUGUGAAGACAGGUGUUGCCGGUGAUCCAGACUUACUCCUAGCUACUUCGAACUGGUGGUGGCGACCGUAGGUGGAAGUGCAGCAGAGGACGAGACGAAUGGUGAUGCGAUGGUGGUUGCUGCCGGCAACACGAAUGCUAGUGACGACGCCAUGGUUUCUGCCAGCAACACGAAUUCGGAGACAACACACGCGAAUGGGCGACAGUUGAUUGGAACUGUGGGCAGCUCAACUUCUUGCGGUGUCAAUGACGGUAGUGGCGCUCCGUGGCCCUUGUCGUCUCUUUCUGCUACCCUGCAGGGUCACCGGUGAGGGCUAGUGCAGGAGAGGGGCUGCGGCUUGGAAGCUGGCAUCACCAACAUCAUGGGCAAGCUUUUGUUGGCUCCCAUGGCAACCUCCCAGCAAGCCUCCUAGGAGGCGGCAACGGCGACAGCACCAUUUGUGCUCACAAGACAAGGGCCUCCUAGGCCGCGAUGUGAGAAGAAGCAGUGAGGCAAUCUGAAUCCGGCGCAGUGGCAAUGGCGAGGUGCUUGCUGAUCUCCCUUCACACACAACAUAAGGAGCUGCUGAUGGGAUGAAUGGAGAGAGCGCGUGGGGGAGAGCUCCGAUCUAUGGCUGGCCGAGGUGGAGGAGCACAGAGCCGGGAGAUUAGAGCGACGGCGGCACUAUGGCGGCAGCGACGGAGAGGAGCUCGUGUCAACUACGAGUCCAAGACGCUUAUGUUAGUUUGAUCUCCACCGGACUUGACCCAACGACCAAGUCUGACCUUGAUUCCACGCCCUGAUCAGGGGCGCACAACCAACUCAUGGUUGGUGGGCCCCCGUCGCGUAGCACAUAUAAAGCAGAGGUGGGGGCUGGCGGCACGAACGCCCAAGUUCGACACCUUGCCCACCAGACCCACCUACAAACCUAGAACCCAAUCUAACUCGUGCUGUCAGCGGCGGGAAGCUCUGCCAACUCUUCGCGUCGCCGCUGCCGCCCUCAUCGUCAACACCACCGUCACCACCAUGGCGAGUUCCUGCUCCAAGCCCGAUGGUCGGUGACCCUCUCACUCUAUCUCUCUCUCCCUCUCGGAUGUAUCUCUGUUUGGAUUCUAGGAUAAUGAUUUAAUCUAAAGAAUGAGUUUGUUAACCCACUAGUUGAGCUCCUAGUGUUUCUGUAAUCCUGUCAAUGGUAUCAGAGCUGUACUAGAUUGUUCAUCUAGAUGGGGAAGUUGUUUUUUGCAUGAAUCAGAAACUUGAAGCAUUUAAAAGAAGAUGAUUCGCAAAAGAAGAAAGAAAAGACAGAAACCCAAACCCUAACUCCAAGAAGAAAGAAAGAAGAAAAGAGUUUGGGGAAGAAGAGAAAAGAAGAAGAAAUCAGAAAGAAUCAAAACCCUAACCCAAAAAGAUAACGACCGCCGGAUUUGACCGAUGGCCGCCGGUAGACCAAGGGGAAGGAGGAAGGGUUAGGGAGGCGGCUUACCUCGUCGGCCUCCACUCACCGGAGAACUCCGGGAAGGGGAGUAAGGGACACGCAGUCCUCCUCCGCACCCUCCUCUGCACCGGGAGAGUCACGACUGUGCUAGGGCGCCACCGCUAGGCCGCUCGACAGCGACGUGCUCACCCACAAGGGAGCGCGCGCACCGGCGAUGGUGUAGGCAACGGCGCGACCAUCCCUCCGCUGUGGUCUAGCACCAGCCGCCACCACUCCUCUCUCACUCGGCUCUCACUCGGUGCGGCGGCGCUGGAGAAAGAAAGGAGGAAGGAGAGGAAAUGCGCUAGGGUUGGCUGGAGCGGGGUCGAGCCGGGGUUUUGCUCGCGUGAGAUCGACGCGGUGCUAUUGAUCGUGAUGAGCGGCAGGCUACUUUGGUGACCUGGGCCCAGGAGGGAGGCCGCAGCAGGCUGCUUUGGUGUCUUGGGCCCAGGCUGCAGUCUGGCAAGACUCCGAGCGCGCCUACGCCAUGCAGGCUAAGCAGCUUCACCACGUGGGCUGGCAGCACAGUGAAUAAAAGGCCCCGUCUUGGCGUGCCAAGUGAAGCUGUUGGGCUGGGCUGUUUUCGCUAACGAAACCCGCCGCACAGUAGUGUUUUGAGCUCGAUUUCUUUUCCUUUUUCAGAGAAUUUCGUAUUUUUCAUGGAAAUCGAAUUGAUGGCUCAAAUAAAAUUAGUUUUAAGGAAUUUUUCCUGUAGGUAAAAUUAGCAAAUUAAGAUUAAGCUUAUGCUAUAUUAAGAUUAAGUUCAGUUGAAUUUUUAGCUUUAUUUUGCCAAUUUUAUACAUUAAGUUGAAGUUUUUAGUCUAUUUCUCUAAUUAAAUUGGAACCAAUUUGGAACCAAUGGGAAAAUUUAUUUGGAAAAUAAGUAAUUUUUUCUGUGUAUAAUAAUUUUAUCUGCUGACUAGUGUUGUUGAUAAAGUUGUUGUACUGAUAAGUUUUGUUUUAUCAUUAUUGAUUUUAUUUCUGUCCAAUGGUGAUGUAGAAUUAAUAUUGAGAAGCUGUAUGUUUUAAUUUGACCAAUGUUGAAUUAACUCAUAUUUUUUCUUUUCUUUUUUUUGCUUUUAGGCAAUCCUUUGAAUUUUAUCUCGGCCAUAGAGCCCCUCAAUGGAGGGAAUUACAACUCACGGCGAGAGAAGGUCGAGACAGCGCUUGCUCUGUCCGACAUUGAUCUAGCAUUGACUGCUCCUUGUCCCAUAGAACCUAAGGACCCCGUGAGGGCCGAGAAUGAGAGCGAAGCUGCUUUCAAUGCUAGGGUGCAUGAUCAUGCACCAAUCAGAAUGCAGUACGAUCUUGAUCGUGCGAAGUGGGGCUCAUCGAACAGAAAGUGUAUGAUGGUGAUUAAGAGCUCCAUUUUGGAGGCAAUAAGGGGAGUAAUCCCAGAGUGUGACACCGCCAGGGAGUACCUGAUAAACAUGGAGAGUCAGUUUACUGUCUCUUCAAAGGCAUAUGCAAGCACUCUUAUCAGGAAGCUUAAUACUAUGAAGUAUACUAACGGUGGUAUAAGGGAUCACAUAUUGAGAAUGAGCAAUAUGACUUCCAAGCUUAAGUCUAUGGAUAUGGAGCUCCCAGAAGAGUUUAUAAUCCAUCUGGUCAUUACCUCACUGCCCAAAGAAUUUGAGACCUUUGCUGUGAAUUACAACUCACAGCUAGAAAAGUGGGGUAUUGAGAAGAUGAUUGACAUGUGUGUGCAAGAAGAAGAGAGACUUAAGGGCUCAUCUGGUGAUACUAUAAAUUACCUGAGCCAAAACAAGAAGAGGAAUUAUCAGAACAACAAUUCUAAGCUACAAGGGAAACCUCAGUGGAACGCCUCUUCUUCUAAGGCACAUGGAAAGGCUCCAAUGCAUGAUCACCAUCAAAGAUCAAACCAUGAAGUGGUGGUGGACAAGGACACUUGCAAGUGGUGCAAGAUCAAGGGAUACUACCAAAAGGAUUGUGUAGAAUUCCUAAAGCAUUUGUGCGGGAAAGGUGAGAAUCUUAUUACAUUGAUAGAUGACUCCCUGUAUUUAAGUUAUGCAAAAUCUACUUGGUGGAUUAAUUUAGGUGCAACUGUUCAUGUUGCAAAUUCAUUAUAGGGAUUCCAUACGAGGAGGACCCUGCAAAGAGGAGAGAGAAGCAUUAAAGUUGCAAAUGGCGUCCAAGCUGAAGUCGAAGCCAUUGGAGAACUCCCAUUAGAAUUAGCAAAUGGUUUUGUACUUCAUCUGAGAGAUGUUUUUUAUGUACCCUCUUUUCAUAGAAACUUAAUAAGUGUAUCGCACUUAGAUGAUUAUGGUUUUGCUUGUCAUUUCGGUAAUGGAUAAUGUAAAAUCAAGUUUAAUAAUAAGAUUGUUGGUCUUGCCUUCAGACAAGACGAGCUUUAUUUAUUAUCACUUUGUGAGAAUGUAAAUGUUGUAAGCGUUGAGAAUAUGAAUGUCUCCUCGUCUAUGAAUGUAAAGAAUAAGUGGGAAAGAAUUGAUGGUGUAUCUUUGAAAUUAUGGUAUUGUUAUUUAGCCCAUAUUUCGAGGGGGGAAUAGAAUGGUUAAUUAAGGAAUCAAUUCUUCCGCCUUUGGAAUUUUCAGAUUUAGAGCAAUGCAUCGAUUGCAUUAAGGGAAAGUUCAUUAAGAAAAUUAAAAAAGACGCAAAAAGAAGCACAGGAAUUUUAGAAAUAAUUCACACGGAUAUCUAUGGUCCGUUUCCUGUGAUAUCUGUGGAUGGUUAUGAUUCUUUUAUAACAUUCACAGAUGAUUAUUCGCAUGAUAGUUAUAUUUAUCCAAUUAAAGAGCGUUCAGAAACAUUGGAUAAAUUCAAGAUAUUUAAAACUGAAGUAGAAAAUCAGCAUAGCUUAAAGAUUAAAAUAGUAAGAUCCGACCGUGGGGGGAGUACUACGGUCGACAUAUCCCAUAUGGUCAAGUUCCUAGAUCCUUUGCACGGUUUCUAUAGGAAAAUGGCGUAGUUGCCCAGUACUCUACACCGGGCGAGCCUCAGCAGAAUGGAGUAGCUGAAAGACGUAAUCGUACCUUAAUGGAUAUGGUGAGAAACAUGAUAAGUUACUCCACUUUACCAGUUAGUUUGUGGAUGGAGGCGUUAAAAACCGCCAUUCACAUCCUUAAUCGGGUUCCUAGUAAGUCGGUGUCUAAGACACCGUAUGAGUUGUGGACUGGACGAGAGCCCUUACUCAAUUAUUUGCGCGUGUGGGGCUAUCCAGCUGAGGCUAAAGUCUUUAACCCAAACAUUGGGAAAUUAGACCCUAAGACACUCAGUUGCCAUUUCAUUGUCUACCCUGAUUAGUCAAAAGGUUAUCGUUUCUACUGUCCUGAUAGAUAUACGAAGUUUGUAGAAAUGACACAUGCUGUGUUUUUGGAAGAUGAGAUGAUCAGGGGGAACACAAUACCCCGAGAAAUUAACCUUGAGGAGAAGCGGGUAUAUGUACCCACUCCGAUGAUUCAAGAACCUUUUUUCCCGAUACCUAUUGUUGCUGCACCGACAAUACAGGACACUGUGGCUACAACACCUGUUGUUAGUUCUCCUGUGGCAACAACGAAUGAAGAUGAGGAAUCUGUCUUUCAGGAUCCUAUAUAACCAGUUGUCACACAUGAGGAAGAGCUGCAACAGCCCCAUAUGGAAGAUGUACCAGAUGUUGAGGCUCCUAGAAGGUCUCAAAGAGCUAGAAAGCCAGCUAUUCCUGAUGACUAUGAAGUCUAUGUCAGUGAAGAAGUUCAAAUGGAGGAAGAUCCCAUCUCAUUUGAAGAAGCCAUGAGAAGUGUUCACUCAUCGAAGUGGCUUGAAGCCAUGAAAGAUGAAAUGAGAUCCAUGAGUAGCAAUAAAGUCUGGGAUUUAGAAAAAAUUCCUAAAGGAUCCAAGAAAGCAGGCUGUAAAUGGAUCUACAAAAUAAAAUGUGACUUCAAAGGAAAUGUCGAAAGAUAUAAAGCACUACUUGUAGCAAAAGGUUUCACACAAAGAGAAGGAAUAGAUUGUAAUGAGACAUUUUCUCCAGUCUCAUGUAAGGAUUAUUUAGAAUUAUAAUGGCUUUAGUGGCACACUAUGAUUUAGAAUUACAUCAGAUGGAUGUAAAGACGACUUUUCUCAAUGAAGACCUGGAAGAAAACGUUUACAUGGCACAGCCCAAAGGUUUUGUCGUGGAAGGAAAAGAAUAUAUGGGAUGCUGCCUGAAGAAAUCCAUUUAUGAAUUAAAACAAGCCUCCAGACAGUGGUACUUAAAGUUUGAUGAGACGAUAAGAAAGUUUGGAUUUCGUGAGAAUAAGGAGGACAAUUGCGUGUAUGCAAAGUUUAAGAGUGGGAAUUCAUUUUCCUUAUCCUGUAUGGAGACGAAUAAGUUCUUGUUCUUAAACUUUGAUAUGAAAGAUCUUGGUGAAGCUUCAUUCAUUUUAGGAAUUGAAAUUCACCGAGAUAGAAGAUAGGGGGUGUUAGGAUUAUCGCAAAAGGCAUACUUAGAGAAGAUUCUAAAGAAGUAUAGUAUGCAUACAAGUAGACCUUCACCUGCUCCCAUAGUUAAGGGAGAUAGAUUUGGGAAAUUUCAGAGUCCCAGGAACCAGUAUGACAUCGAUCAAAUGAAAGCGGUUCCAUAUGCUUCAGCUCUCAGAAGCUUGAUGUAUGCUCAAGUGUGUACACACCCUGACUUAGUUUUUGUUACCGGGAUACUUGGCAGAUAUCAAGAUAAUCCAGAAAUAGAUCACUGGAAAAUAGUAAAGAAGGCAUUGCGUUAUACGCAAGGCACGAAAGGCCAUAUGCUAACAUACAAAAGAACUGAUUCCCUUGAAAUAGAAGGGUACUCAGAUUCAGAUUUUGCGGGAGAUGUAGACGAUAGAAAAUCCACAUCAGGUUAUGUAUUCACUCUCGCAGGUGGAGCUACAUCGUGGAAAAGCUCCAAGUAAACCAUCACAACAUCGUCCACGAUGUUUGCCAAGUUUGUAGCCUGCUAUGAGGCCACGGGGCAGGCAAAAUGGUUAAAUAAGUUUGUACCCGGGUCAAGAGUGGUAGACAACAUUCAAAGACCACUCAAGAUGUACUGCGACAACAAGCCAGCAGUAUUCUAUGCUCACAACAAUAAGUCAAGUGGUCCUGCCAAACACAUUGGCAUAAAGUUUUAUGUUGUGAAAGAGAAAAUCCAGUAUCAUACUAUAAGUCUUGAGCAUAUAAGAACAAAAGAAAUGCUCGCGGAUCCGCUUACGAAAGGCUUACCGUCCAAUGUGUUCAGAGAACACUUAGCCGGCAUAGGUUUACAGGAAAGCCUAUGAUCCCUGAUACUAACAGCCUAGAAUAAGAAUCUGUUUCAAAACAGAAAGGUGUGUUGUAGCUGUUGAAUCUGAUAGUACGUAGCUGGCUAUUAUGACGAGACAUGCUCUAUACACUGAUCUAUGAUGAAAUGGGUGCCAAGUAGCGAUGAAAACGGACAGGAACAGGCGGGAAAAUCCCUUAACCGUGUCCCGUCCCAUAUUUUUUUUCACCGGGAAUGGGAGCGGGACAGUCGGGAGCGGGACAAGAAGCGGGAUAAACGGGUAUAUGAAAACGAACAAAUGCGAGCAGAAAUAAAAUGGAAACAGGCAGGAACCAGGACCCUACGCCAGGAUGACACAUUCCAACUUCCAAAGUCCAAAUGCCAGCCACAGGCAACAGCAAACCAGCGCUAGGUCGCUAGCCACAAGCACUAAGGCAGGCCGCAGGCAACAGCAAAGAGCAAACCAACGCCAGCCACAGCCCACAGGCAGGCCGCAUGCAAUAGCACAAGAUGACAGGCAGGCCACAGGCAUUCAGGCAAACCAAUAACAGCCAUAAGCAACAACAAGGCAACAAGCUACAGGCAAUAGUAAGACAGCAAGUUACAGGCAACGCCGAACCAACAACAGCCACUGCGCGGCAUCCUUCUCCACUCCUCCUUCGGCCACAAAGGACACGCGGCAGGGGGCCAGGCGCGUGCGCUGGCGGUGCGGGCGUGCGGGAGCUGGGGGCAGGCAGGCCGGCACGCGCACGCGGCAGGGGGCCAACCAGGGGCCAGUGGCGGCGGGCGCACGCGUGCGAGUUGCGACAGCAAGGGGCCAGCCAGGGGCCGGCGGCGGCGGCCGGUAGGCGCACGCGUGCGACAGCAGGGGCCCAGCCAGGGGCCGGCAGCGGCGGGAUGGGUGGGGUAGGAAUGGGGAGUUGCGGGUUGCUGCAGUUGCCAGACGCUGAGACGCGGAUGCAAUGCAAGUUGGGGAUCGGAUUACGGUUGUUUGUUGGGCUGGAUUGGCCGAUUGGGGUUUGGGGUGAGGGAUUGAGGUAGUGGGCCUAUCCCGGUUAUUUAGAAACGGGAUGAAUAUGGGACCAUCUCGGACUAAAACGGGAUCCCACAAAUACUGGUAGGAUACCCCCUCAACCAUAUACCGUCCCAUUCCCGGGUACCCCUGUCCUGUUUCCCGUCCCAUUACCGGAUCUUACCAUCCCAUUUUCGUUUAUCUCCAAUUACGGGACAAAUAUGGUAAAACGGACGGGCGGUCACGGGAUUUUGUCCGUCCGUUUUCAUAGCUAGUGCCAAGUUAAGUUUAAGACUAAGUUUAAGUAUGAGAUGAGAUCAAGGGGGAGAAUGUUAGUUUGAUCUCCACCGGACUUGCCCCAAUGGCCAAGUCCGACCCUGAUCUCGCGCCCUGAUCGGGGGCGCACAACCAACUCAUGGUUGGUGGGUCUCGUCGCGCAACGCAUAUAAAGCUGAGGUGGGGGUCGGGGGCACAAACGCCCAAGUUCAACACUGUGCCCACCGGACCCACCUACAAACCUAGAACCCGAUCUAACUCGCGCUGUCAGCGGCGGGAAGCUCUGCCAACUCUUCGCGUCGCCGCUGCCGCCCUCGUCGUCAACACCAUCAUCACCGUCAUGGCGAGCUCCUGCUCCAAGCCCGAUGGUUAGUGACCCUCUCACUCUAUCUCUCUCCCUCUCGGAUGUAUCUUUGUUUAGAUUCUAGGACACUGAUUUAAUCUAAAGAACCCACUAGUUGAGCUCCUAGUGUUCCUGUGAUCCUAUCAGCUUAUGGCUCAACUGUCCAACACUAUGAAUUAUGAAAUGACCUUGCAGUGGACGCAUGUGAUGAUGUACCAAGUACCAUGCCGGAGCCGGACACAACAACCGUACGCGAUCGAUGCGAGUCUGCUGAGAGGCUGAUGAGACUUUCCAAAGCUAUCAGCAUUGGUUGAACUGUCACAUAAGUCUGACCUUUUCUUGUUUCCCAGCAGAGUAGGUAAGACCGCCGGAUUCGGAGUGUUGGAGUGGUCUCAAGGUUAAUCGGAACACAUGCGCUAAUUGCUCAACUAACCUGAACCAGAUUCCACGCGCGCGGCCGCCUACACCUAUAUGUCUACAGUCUACACGGCUGCAUGCGUCAGACUAGUGUAUACAUACAUGGUCACAGUCCGAUUAGUAUAGUUGGAUUUCAGUACUUGACCUCAAGUUGAUGGCAAUACUAGUAUAUAGUAGAUCACUCCAUCAUGCUGCACGCAUGCGUGGACCAGAUUUAGGGCAAGUCCGUACGUUAUCGUACUCGACUUCUUUCGAAACGAAUUAUGAAAUGAUCCACGUAACUGCCUAGAAAAUUCCUACGUGAUCAUUGCAUGGCAUCAGCGAAAAAUAACGCAUUAUUUAACUUCUGCAGCAUUCGGCUCUCUGGUCAAACUUAAUUCAACCCAAUUUCUUAAGCUUAUAUAGUAUACGAGUAUGUAGAGACUCGGAAAUAUGUCCUAGUUGAACGUGCUACUAUUAUUCUACUCCCUCUGUUCCAAAUUAUAAGUCAUUCCAACUUUCUUGGAGAGUCAAACCAUUUUACGUUUGACCAAAAUUAUAAAGAGGAUCACAAAGGUUUAUAGCACCGAAUAGAUAUACUAUGAAAAUAUAUUUAAUGAAGAAACUAAUAAUAGUACUUAUUUGGUAUCACGAAUGUUAAUACUUUAUUGUAUAAAUAUGGUUAAAUUUGAGAUGCUUUGACUCUGCAAGAAAGUUGAAAUGACGAACGGAGGAGUACUAACUGCUCUGAUUCUUGACAUGCCUUCUGAAACAAGUGUUUCCUCGCGGACUGUCUCAAAGAAUUUUUCCCACAGGCGGCGGCUCAGUUAGUUUUUUUUCCUUGGCAGUUGGUGGCUGAGAAUAUUGAACGUUGAUCUUUGAAAAUCCAGCAGAGAAAUCAGUAUAGCUGCAAUUCAUGCUCAACUAGGAAAAACAGUCAUAGCACGCAUAGCCGUUAAGUCUGCAGCUUCACUGAUGUUUACGGUUCAGGAAAAAAACUACCUGUACCCAUCGUCCACUUCUCCGAUCAUUUUGUGGAAUAAUGAAGCGCGCGGUCUUACCUACCAUACCAAGGAAGACACCAAUCAGAAGCUCGGAUGAUACGAUCUUGCUAACAACUAGUACUGCACACUAGUUUCAUUCGACGACUACGGGAGAGAAUGUUCAGACAAACUAAAGCUGGUGGGUUAUGAUGGAGUCGAAUCGAUUUCUCGCAGUAGGUGAAUGCGUUUUCAGCGCUUGGAUCGUUGUGAGUUCAACCAACGCAGACGGGGAAAAGUGAAAAGGCAGCACUUUUCCCAGGAUAGUUGGGAGAGGCACCGGGAAAUCCAAACGAGCUGAUUCCAACUGUCUUUUCCCUGCUACCAGCAAUAUGAACUGCAGUCACCAUCGUCAGACCGGCUCAACGACGAUCAUCACCUCUGAAACCUUGCGCGGGAAGAGUCUACUAGCAGUAAUGAAGUCCGAAACUCAAGCCAUAUCCAGCUGAAAGUCUGAAACUGCAAGCCUCCAACAAAUUGGUGCAUGACACUAACUCUAUACACACAACAAUCAUUUCACGUAUAGUUUUCUAUGUUCAUAUACACUAUACAGUCUGAAAUUUACAGCAAUAGUACUGUGUCUGGAUAUAUGAACUAAACCUCGGCCUGAACCAACUACAGCAGAAUGGAACUAUGGAACCGAUCUAACAUCUAUGUAGCAAUUUAUUCCAGUGGAAACAGAAUAAGAUAGCCCACUAGGACAGCGCACAUGAGUUAAUUACCCGGUCUCCGCAAACGGAGCCUGCUGCACUUUUCUGCGGAGGCGCUUCAGUUUUGUUUUGUCUCUCAAACAACGACAAAGUCUGCGUAUUCAGACGCGCGUGUGAAAGAAUGGAAGGUGUGAUUGGCAGCUACUAGUCCAAUGACAGUUUAGUUUGACCAUCACUGAUUAUGCUAGUGCCGACGUGGACUAGUACACCCAUCACGGCAUCACACGUGAGCAACUCCUGAUCCUACGUGGAUGCUGGUUGGCUAUGGAAACGGCUGAUUGCUACGCACGGGUCAAACAGAGCACCGGUCCAAGCAUGUGGAACGCUGACAAACUUGCUCACAUGUUGUUCCGAUCCCUGUCCUAUAACCAAUCAACAAUUAGUAUGCUUUACUCGGUCAGGACAGAGAGAGGACAUGGCAUGUUGAAACUAAUGAGUUGUUAGAAAACAUAUCUAAAAAAAUAAAUCCCAACUAAUCCCACGCAACGAAAAAUACUGGAAAGCUUAUUCUUAUUUAUUGUACUCCAAAAUUCACAGGAAAACUAGUUAAAGUAUAAAACUUCAGAUUUGAGAGGGAUCUCGGCGACCUCAGACGACUAGUUUUAUUAUAAAAUCAUAUUUUGUAUGUGGAGUAUAUAGCAGUAUAAUUUACAAUUGCAGCGUUCAGGAUCUGAAUCUGAGAAACAAACAACCAAACCACUCAUUAGUACUUGACUGUUCCGCGUGUACUUAUUCUUAUGCCCGGCUGCAAGUGUCUACUUCUCUUCCCUUGCCAUUCAGUGCUUUGUGUUGACUCACCAACUUCGCUAGCUAACUUGAUUUCUCUGGACCUCGUCACAUCUUCCGGCUUCUAUAUAAACGCUAAAGGCCUGUCAUGCAAACACAACCAAAUCAAGCCAAGUACAGCAGAAGCAUACAACAAUCAGAUCGAGCUCAGCCUCUAAACUCCUGCAAAGUAGGAGUAAGAGGCUGCAGCGUGCAAGAGGAGUAGCGUCAUCUCCCAUGGCCUCCAUAACAGCUAGUGCCAGUCCAGCCAUGCAAGAAAUCAGCAGCAAGGCGGCGAGCACGACGUCGCCGGAUCGCGCCACUACCGCCGCGCCGGCGCCGGUGCGCUACAGGCCGUCGCCGAUGGUCAUAUUCAGCGCCUGCCUCGUCCUCCUGGGCGCCGGCGGCCCGCUCCUCCUCCGGGUCUACUUCGUCCACGGGGGGGAGCGCCUGUUCCUGUCCACCAUGCUGCAGCUCUCCGGCUGGCCCCUCCUCCUCCCGCCCAUCUGCGUCUCCCUCUUCCGCCGCCGCAGCCAGGGCGUCGCCAACCUGCUCCUCCCGCCGCGCCUCGCCGGCGCCGGGGCCGUCCUCGGGGCGUUCUACGCCAUCUCUUGCUUCGUCUACUCGCUGGGAUCGCAGGCGCUGCCGCUGUCCACGUCGUCGCUGCUGCUGGCCACGCAGCUCGCCUUCACCGCCGUCUUCGCGUUCCUCUUCGCCGGCCUACGAUUCACGCCCUUCUCGGCCAACGCCGUCGUGCUGCUCACCAUCGGCCCGGCGGUGCUCGGAGUCGGUCCCGGCUCCGGGAAGCCUGCUGGCGAGUCCUCGAGGACGUACUGGACAGGGUUCUGCGAGGCCGUCGCCGCGGCCGCGCUCGCUGGCCUCGUCCUGCCCCUCGUCGAGGUCGCCAUGGCGCGCUACGGCCGACGCACCGGACCCGCCGCGAGAGUGCCACCCCCGUACGUGACGGUGAUGCAGAUGCAGGCCGUGAUGGGCGCCGCCGGCACGAUGGUGUGCCUGCUCGGCAUGGCCAUCAAGAGCGACUUCCAGGCGUUGCCGAACGAGGCCGCCACGUUCGGUCUCGGCAAGACCAACUACUACCUGGUGCUCAUCUGGGAUGCCAUCUCAUGGCAGCUGCUCAACCUGGGGAUCAUGGGGCUCAUCACCUGCGCCUCGUCGCUCCUCGCCGGCAUCAUGAUCGCCGUCCUCCUACCACUCUCUCAGGUCCUCUCCGUCAUCUUCCUCCACGAGAAGUUCGACGGGCCCAAGGGCAUUGCGCUUGUGCUCUGCCUUUGGGGUUUCGCCUCCUACCUUUACGGUGAGAAAGUGCAGAAGAAACGCGAGGCUCAGAAGAUUGUUGAGCAGCAGUUGGCUAAGAAGACUGAAGACCUAGAGUCGGCUGCUCCUUGAGAAUCUAUAGUUUUAGGGUUGUGCAAGCAUAUAUUGGGCCAUAAAGCCAUAUAGGUAUAGUAAACACAUAUUUUUCAGCCACGAGAUGAUUCUUUACGCGGUGUACAUCUUGUAAGGCAUUAUUUCAUUUGUAAGGAAGAGAAUACACAAAUUUAUUAAGUGCUAUACGGAUGUAGUAUCAAUUAUUACAAAGUUUUCCGUCUCUUUGUCGUCCAUGCGUAUGGCCAAAAUCUAACUUUUCUUAGCCAAUACAAUUCUUCGAUUUUAAUACUGACACAUCAAUAUCUAAAUUUCCAAGAUCUAACGUUUGGCCAUUCCGUGACUAAUCGGCUAUCAAGCCAUGGCCCUAUGCAGCCUCUCCAUGGGCCUGUGGUGCGAUAACAAGAGGUUAGACGAUGACGAAGCUGAGGCGAUGGACAACGCCCUAAUCGGCAUGGUUGGGGAGGGCGUCAAUGACCUACCAGAGGUGGCAGGAUAGGUAGCGGUUUUAGGCGAGUUCUAUCUAUGUCAAGAGGCGGCCGAUGAUACUAAAUUGUGGAGUUACGGGGACUAAGUGAUGCACAGUAUUGAAGUGGUGGUUUGGCAUUGUAGUGUGCUGAGUGGUGGCAGGUGCAACACAUGUCUAUUGAGUUGAUUGGUUUUUUUGGUUGUUGUACUGCUUAGUUUGGAGUCUCACCUUCUUUUUAAUAUAAUCGGCUGCUCUCCUGCCUGGUUCAUUUAAAAAAAAGUUAGAUGCUGCUGCAAUUUCUAUUUUAAAACGGCCAAAGUAUUUUAGUCUUAUAUAGUUAUCUAUCAUAACUGUUGAUAGUAUGUUCUCAGGAAUGAUAUUGUUAGCAAAUAGCAAUAGCAAAAUUGGGGUGAAGGUGUUUGAUGAGGUGGGAUAGGCAAAAUGAGGAAAAAGCUCGAUUCGAGUUCAGAUUCGCUUUCGGAUAUUCACUUAAUUUUGAUGAUAGCAAUUAGCUAAUACUCACUUGCUUUAUUGAUAGUUUUGGAAGAAUGAAAUCAUCAUAAGACAUAAAAGUAUGGAUCAAAUAUAACAGGUAGGCAAAGACCAUUCAUUGCAAAUAUUAUGAUUAAAUAUUGAUUAAUAAAUCGUAUAAUAUUUUACAAUAACAAAAUAAAUUAUGGUUCAGAGAGUUGCAUAUGCUAUAUGAAUAUAGAUAGUAUCGGAUAUCCAUCCACGUACACCCAUAUUCAUUUCAAAUAUGAAUACAAAUUCACAUAAAAAUGAAUUCGAAAGUAUGCACUUAAGGUACCAGUACCACACAUUAGAAACGAAUGUGAAUACGAAUAUCAAUAUUUCACAUCUAAGCGGAAUUUCCCACCCGCUUGGUAAUUUGUGUGUAAGCAUGACCUGCGCGCACAGUGUCGUUUCGACAUGGAAAUCCUCUCCCAGUUGGACGUGUUAUCUUAUUUUACUACCUACUCCAAACAUCGACGACAUGCCUCGAAGUUUCUGAAACAACGCAGUCUGUCUGAAAGAAGUUUUGCCGCAGCCGGCCUGGUAGUUGUUGAAUGCGACGAUUGAACGUUGAUCUUUGAAAAUCCAGCGGAUUAAUCAUGCUUAAAUAUGCACCAGCUGUUCAUGCGACGAUCUGUUCACCUACUAGGCGAACCGCGAACGAUCAUGGCAGAACUGAGAACUGUUAGUCCGCAGCCGGAAAUAAACUUGAUUCGUAAAACAAAAACGUUUGUAAGUCCACAGUGCAUGCCAUGCUUUGCUGAUAUUAGGGGAAAUCUGUAGAAUCAUAAUCACUUCUCCUUUUCUGGAACGAAAUGAAAUGCGUGCCCUUACCUACCAUCCCAAGGAAAAGGGAAGAGAUCAUCUGAUCGAUCUUACUGACUGCAGCGACACAUUAUUAGCUUCAUCUAUUCGACGACCUCGCGAGGGAAUGUUCGGACAAAUCAAAGUCAGGCGGCAUGAUCGAGUCCAGUCGGUUUCUCGCAGUAGGUGAAUGUGUUUCCAGCACCUGCAUAUCGUUGUGAAUUCUUCAACCUACACAUACCGAAAUGAGAAGUGAAAAGGCACAACUUUUCUCAGGAUAGCAAGGAAAAUGACAUCACCGGUGGAGGAUCCUGUGUAAAUUAAAGUUUUACUUUUACACAGGAGAGAAAACAGAGAAUCUUAACUCCUAGAUAGACAAUUCCAACCAUCUUUUUCUGCACUUUCAGCCAGUAAUACUGAUAAUACCUGCAUUCAGUCAACAUUGGUGAUAAUUUGCACCUGCAUAUAGGUUCGAUAUGGUAACAUACAGUCCAAAAUAUUACAGCUAUAGAGUUUAAUUGGAUACCUGAAAUAUUAGCACAAAGGCACCGGUUGUAAGACAUUUUGUAAAUCAAUCUCUCGGGCUGAACGAUUACAGCAGAAUGGAACAGAUCAAACAUUUGGUUCCUUUGAACAGACAAACCUUUAGUCAACAGAAUAGCGACCUGCAGCAAAGCUUAUCCGCUGAUUACCCGGUCUUUGCAGCCUGCACCUUCGAAGGAGGCGCCUCGGUGUCUUCUCUUUUGUGAACAACCAUCACAUCUACGUGUAGACGCAUGUGAAAGAAUGGCAAUGUGCGAUUGAUUAUUUGAUAGCCACAGCUACUAGAGCUACUAGAGCUAGUCGACCCAUCUGCAUUACACGUCAGCCAAUCCUCCUAGUCCUAUGGGGAUGGUGGUUGGUUACGGUUACGGACAAUUGGACAUGGAUGAUUGCUACGCAUGGGUCAAACGGAGCACGAGUCCAAAGCCACGGAACGCUGACCGAUUUUCUCAUUUUGCUCUCUGUCCCUGUGGUCAAUCCGCCUAUACCAAGUAGGAGUAUGCUUUAUUACUCGGUCAGGACAUAGAAAGGACAUUACAUGUUGAAAUUAGUUGGCGGCAAACAUAAAGAUAAUAAAACUUAGUUAGACACAUGCAACGAAAAAUCUCGGAGAAUCAAUUUGCAUUUUCUAAUUCCAUGCUUCACUAUUUUUGUCAAAAAAGGAAAAAAGCUGCAGCAUGAAGUAAUUUCAGUCGAUCGCCACCGAAAAGAUCGAAAUUUCGCAAAAUUCACGAAAUUUCACCCGAAACUUUUAUCACUGGAAGUAAUAAUUAAAUUAUUCGUUGAGAUUUGCGUUCAAAUUUGCAGGCGCAGUAAGAUUUUCGUGGUUGGCUGCUUGCUCCGGUCACAGAUUCCGUCCAAAAUUUAGAUUUCAGUUCAUGUUUGUAUUGCAUUUUAGUAUGCCGAAACUUAUGGUCAUAUAUGCAUACGCAGCAUGUGAACCAUUAGGUCUGUCACAAGCUGACGGCUCAUUACUUAACUGUUCCGCGUGUACUUAUUUCCCAUGCGUGCUUCUCUUCCCGUUCCAUGCCUUCUGUGUUGACUCACCAACUGCGUAGUAACUUAAUUGAUUUUCUCUGAGAAGAUCAUUCCCGCUUCUAUAUAAACCUUACAAGACUGUCAUGAACAACAAGCCAAGUACAAGCAGAAGCAUCCAACAAGUAGAUCGAGCCUCCAGACUCCUUCUGCCAUUAACUACGAGGCUGCAAGAGGCAUAGCAUCAACACAGUACAGAAUGGCCUCCAUUACGGCUAGUUCCAGUCCAGCCAUGCAAGAAAUCAGCAGCAAGGCGGCGAGCACGACGUCGCCGGCACGCGCCACUACCGCCACGCCGGUGCCGGUGCGCAACAGGCCCUCGCUGAUGGUCAUAUUCAGUGCCUGCCUCGUCCUCCUGGGCGCCGGCGGCCCGCUCCUCCUCCGGGUCUACUUCGUCCACGGGGGGGAGCGCCUGUUCCUGUCCACCAUGCUGCAGAUCUCCGGCUGGCCCCUCCUUCUCCCGCCCAUCUGCGUCUCCCUCUUCCGCGGUCGCAGCCACGGCGUCGCCAACCUGCUCCUCCCGCCGCGCCUCGCCUGCGCCGGUGCCGUCCUCGGGGCGUUCUACGCCAUCUCCUGCUUCGUCUACUCGCUGGGAUCGCAGGCGCUGCCGCUGUCCACGUCGUCGCUGCUGCUCGCCACGCAGCUCGCCUUCACCGCCGUCUUCGCGUUCCUCUUUGCCGGCCUACGAUUCACGCCCUUCUCGGCCAACGCUGUCGUUCUGCUCACCAUCGGCCCGGCGGUGCUCGGAGUCGGUCCCGGCUCUGGGAGGCCUGCCGGCCAGUCCUCGAAGACGUACUGGACAGGGUUCUGCGAGGCCGUCGCCGCGGCCGCGCUCGCUGGCCUCGUCCUGCCCCUCGUCGAGGUCGCCAUGGCGCGCUACGGCCGACGCACGGGACCCGCGGCGAGAGUGCCACCCCCGUACGUGACGGUGAUGCAGAUGCAGGCCGUGAUGGGCGCCGCCGGCACCGUGGUGUGUCUGCUCGGCAUGGCCAUCAAGAGCGACUUCCAGGCGUUGCCGAACGAGGCCGCCACGUUCGGUCUCGGCAAGACCAACUACUACCUGGUGCUCAUCUGGGAUGCCAUCUCAUGGCAGCUGCUCAACCUGGGGAUCAUGGGGCUCAUCACCUGCGCCUCGUCGCUCCUCGCCGGCAUCAUGAUCGCCGUCCUCCUACCACUCUCUCAGGUCCUCUCCGUCAUCUUCCUCCAUGAGAAAUUCAAUGGGCCGAAAGGCAUCGCGCUCGUGCUCUCCCUUUGGGGCUUCGCAUCCUACCUCUACGGUGAGAGGGCGCAGAAGAAGCAGGAAUUGCAGAAGAACGAGCAGCAGUUGGCUUUGGCUAAGAAGACUGGAGACCUGGAGUCAGCUGCUCCUUGAGGAUCAAUAGAUCUCUGUUUUGUCUAGGGUUGUUCACACAUAUACACAGGUAUAGAAACAAGUUUUCAUUACACGAUUGGUACAUUUAUACACAUUUUGUACGCAUUAAUUCAUUUGUAAGGUAAGCAGAUACAAAAACAUACGAUUGUAUCAAGGAAAGAUCAAUACAGCUCUUGUCCAAGCCUAAAAUGCUUGUUGUACUAGCCAACAAAUGUCCUAAAAUACGCAAAUACAUCUCCUUUUCUUGUCGUCUGGACAAACGAUAGCAUUGCUGUGAACAAAGAUACAGAUGGAAAAGAGAAGGAUGAUGGCACUGUACCAAGAGUCUUAGCUGUAGACUAGACGACAAGCAGCACCAGAAGACCAUGGCUGGUGAGAAAAGUUCCCUGGGUGUCUCUGCGAAAGUACGAUGAGAGAUUACAGAGCAGAGCAGAACUAGGAAAUGCACCGACGGCCAAGAACUCACUCGAUCACGAACCAAGGAGAAGCGAAACUGGAAGCGCAUGGCGCUCGUGAAUUGAUGGUGCGUCCGGGGUUUGCCAUGCCGGACGCCGGUUGGCCUCAUGGUGGCGGCAGGCGGCGGUCGACGUCUGCAGCGCGGCCACAUCGGCCACACCGAGUCACCGACCGACGACGAUGGCGAGCGCGCAAGUCACGCAGAUCAAAUUCCCCAACGGGCCUCAGCGUAAAAAGGAAGUGGGCUCAGGUAAUUGGGCCCCCGCCUGGCCCAGCAGCGCGGCCGCAUCUCACUCAACAGAUCGAAUCGUGGCCGCAUCCUCUCGAUCCAACGGUUCGGAAUACCCCGAGCCUGGACGGUAAAUGAAAUACCGUCCAGGGUGGACGGCGAAUGAGAUACCGUCCACCCCCGACCCUCCUGGCGCGCGCCAUCGUGCUCGCCGCGGCGUCGCGCUCGGGAUCGCCGGCGCCCGCGAAGCCGCAGCACCCUCCCCUAGCGUCAUAUCCGCGGCCUUGGGCCCUUCCUGCGCCAUUUCCCGCGCGCAUCCACUCGCCUCGUUGUGCUCCGCGGCGGCGGCCGACAUCUUCCCUCGCCGUCGUGCCCGCGGCCAGCGCCGCCCGGGACGACACCGCCCAGCCCCGUCGCGCGCGUUUUCUCUGCCUGCAGCUCUGCGCCUCUGCCGCGUCGAGGUAUUCCAGUGCCAUGGGGACAGCCAGCGCCGCGGCAGUGCGGCAUGGACUUGGACUCGGAGCCUCGGAGGGCAUCAACGAUGCAUCCUGACCGCGUCCGUGGCACCUUCUGCCGUAGUCGAUGGCACCUUCAGGCUGACUAUGCCCUUGUUACUUGUUAGCUCCAAUCUGCAACGACGUGGCUGUCACAGUUUACUGUUGUCAGGUAUUCAAUCGGAAAUGGAGGGGAAAGACCACAAGCAGCACCAGAAGACCAUAAAACUGUGAAAAAGCACCAAACUCGGCAUAUUAACAUAUAUAUAAACUCAAAUUUCUGUAAAACAUACAGAAGAACAAAUCCCUUCUCCAACUACCAUCAUGGUGUCCCAUAUUACUGUGGCUAGAAUUGACCCAGCUAUAGUGUUACCGCCUUGCCGGUCACUAGGUUUCUUUCGCUCCCUUUCCUUUCUUGCAACAAAAGGCUUCCUAUUUCAUUUCCGGGAGAAUUUGGACACAAGGUACACUAGAAAGAAGCAAGCAAGGGCAAACAGGACCACAUGAACAAGAUGGUUUGAACCAUUCUGUAUGAUGCUCUUGUUCAUUCGCCUCAUGUUGUUCUUGACCCCUGCCUGGGCCUUAGUCAGAGUCAUUUGCUGCAACAAAAAAGGAGUUGUACAUGAAACACUGUCAUAGAGGAAUAUACCAAGUUUCAGCCCAAAAAGGCACAAAACACAUUACAUUGUUGAUCAGUCACACAUGCUUUCACAAACAAAAGGAACGUGGCAGAUAACAGACAACACAUACUCUCAACAAGCAUCAAGUUGCUUGAAAUGAACUAAUACUAAAUCAAAGUGCUCAACACCAAUGGAACAAAAUAAUAAAUUAGAUCCAGAGAGGAUCAUUAUCUUUAAAAAGUCUUUACAUCUGAAGUAAAUGGCAAGCACUUAAGGGUUGUGGUUCAAAUGUAUGACACUAAAACAUAUGUUUCCAGUUGACCCUUUUGUUUUUAGAAACAACUACUUUGUGGAAUUUAACAUAGCAUGGCGGUGCAAAGACAACCUGGAUAAGAUAAUCGACAAUAAAAGUAGGAUCAAAUCAGACCAUGGAGGCUUUCAGUUUCAGACAGUCACGCAUGGUUUAAGGAAUUGCCAACCUUGGCUGAUGAAUUGACAAAAGACAGUCGACUGGCGAAAUGCAUUUGAGAAAACAUAACAGUAAGAACAUAAUGUUUGGUGAUGACCAGAUUAAAAUGCCCACGCAAGAUAAUAGAAAGCAUAUCAGCAAUGGAAAUACAUCACUCACAACCCAUGUAUACAUCUCUAUUAGGUGUUGGAAGUUGGAACCUUCAAACAAAUAUAUGUGCUGAUAAGUGACAACGAACCACAGAUGCAUAAUUCUUAUCAAAAAGCAACUGAGCUUUCUUCAGGAUUUGCCCCCACACUUAUUAGUAAAAUUAGUUAAUUACCAGGUGAGAUAUGAAAUCAUUUUGAUACUUGGCCUCUGACUGGAUCUCUUGAGCGACCUGCAGUACAAAAUCGAUGGCUUAUCUUAGAAAUAAAUCGAUGUGUAGCUAAAAGUACUGGGAACUAAUUACAUGUACCAUUGGUUUCAUUUAACGAAUAAAAUCGGACAAACUUCUGAAGCGGAGUUCAACUCAGAGGGAGGUACAACUAUACAACUUACUCCUCUUAGCUUGCGGACUUGUCCACGUAGUCCAAUGAUAUGAUCAUCCAAAUCAGCAUUGAUCGGGUCAAUCUGGAGCGAAAUCUCGCUGGAGCUUGAUGAUGCAGCAGGCCUGACCGUCAGCCCUUCCCUGCAGAACUCAAUAUUCAGAUAUAUGUCAUAACAACGGAAGCGGGGAGUUCGAGAGGAUUAAAACCACGGAGCAAUUGAUGGGGAAAACUUUGGAACCAACGAUAGUAGUAGAUACUAGUAUUAGAACUACGCGACCACAAAUGUUUGGGCCCUAAGGAAGAUCAAGACCACACCAAGCACCGCGAGAAACCAAAUCAGGAAUAGGUCACGGGGACAUUGGGGAUCAGCAUCACGGCGCAACCUAAUCAACCAGUAAGGAGGGGAAACGGACACGGAAGGGCGAACCUGGAGCCGUAGGAGCUGUUCGCCAUGGCGGACGCAGCAGAGGCGAUCUCCGAGAGAUUGGAGCCCGACGAGUUCGAGAUCGGCGCGGCGGUAGUACGAGCGCAAAUUUGCUUGCCCCGCCGGCCCGACCCAAGCAAUCCCGGCGGUGGCUUCAGGGAAGGGGGAACCUGGCUCUGGUGGGGCCGUUAUAAUUGGGGAAACGGAGGGGGGAACGUGGCAGAUCGGACGGCGGAGGAGUCGCCGGUGACGGUGGCAAUCUAAAACGCGUCGAUGCGAAGCAGUGAAGGUGAAGCAACACAAGCUGGCUUGUCGCUGACUGCAUCGGCGAACGUUCCUGACGAGCACAACUCGUUUUCCCGUAUGCUAUCAUGAACAACUUGCUAAGACAGUUUAGGAGUGUUUGGAUAUCACCCAUAAAAUUUAGCACCUGUCACGUCGGAUGUUUGAUACUAACUGGAACUGGAAGUAUUAAAUAUAGGCUAAUUAUAAAACUAAUUGCACAAAUGAAGUCUAAUUCACGAGAUGAAUCUAUUAAGCCUAAUUAGUCCAUAAUUUGACUAUGUGGUGCUACAGUAACCAUUUGCUAAUGAUGAAUUAAUUAUACUUAAUAGAUUCGUCUUGCGAAUUAGUCUAGAGGUUCUGCAAUUAGUUUUAUAAUUAGCUUAUAUUUAAUCCUCCUAAUUAGUAUCCAACAUUUGGUAUGACACUGCUGCUGCCUCCCCUUAAACUGGCGUCGGCGAUCACUGAUCGGGGGUGUACUCUGUUCGACUGCGCGAUCGAUGAUUGAACAAAUGCGAUAGUUGUGUCAGAGCUAAUACUAACAUGAGGUUGCUACACCACACUCCAGUGUAGAAGAUCCCGUCCACACUCGAAAUUUUUAACCGCCCGAUCCGGAAUCGACGGUGCAGAUCGAACCAGCCUGCUCUUUCACUUCCUCCGCUCCUCAGCGCUCAACCUUAUCCAUUCCCCGCCCGUCACCUCCACCCCAGAGCGAGGCCCUGCCGCCUCCUCCCCGCUGCCUCGUCGGCGCCGUCCCCGGCGUCGGCGAGGCCCGCCCUCCCUCCACCGCCCCUCCCACAUCCCUCCCCCCUCGCCGUUCUUUGCAGCCGUCGGAGUCACCUCAGCCGCUAGCCCCCGCCUCCGCCGCCGCUCGGCCCGUCUCCAGCGGCUCUCGCCGCCGGAUACGCGUCCGCCGUCUCGACCGCUUGCCUAUUCUCCGGUGCUCACCCCCGCCGCCUCCACCGCCCAACCGGGGGUCCACCGCCGCCCGGCUUCUGCGGCGCCUCCGCUUACCCGCCGUCUCGGCCGUCACCACCGCCGGCCGGCGAGCCACCCCGGAGCUCCUUCUACAGUCGGAGGCCACAGGAAACCUCCACCCCCGAACCCUAACUUGCCGGAGCUCAAGUAGAAGCUGCUGCCGGAGCUCGAGAAGAAGGUGUUGUGGCAUGAGAUGAUUGGGCAGUGAAAUUUGAGCGUGGGGAGGAGUAGAAAUGCUCGAGUGUAAUAUAGCUUUCCCCUACUAACAUUCAGGAUGUUCAGUGCUCAGACAUACUUUUGAGUGAAAGCAGACGGGCUGCUGCAUCGGUAUAUUUAACAGGGAUGACGAUACAUUUUGAUAAGUUGUUCAUUCAGAUGAUAUCCGAAUCCCCAGUUUCAGUUGACGCAGAAUGGAAACUAGCUGCACAAGGCAAACACGGCAGGAUCAGGAUGCACACUGUCAUAGAUCAAAAUUCAAAAAAUCUGUUUCAGACUUCCAUUUGGUGUAGAGCAUAUGCCAACGCCUAUCCAACUAAACUGCAACAACUGUCAGCCUUCCAGACACAAAGUAUAUCACAAGUUCACAACUGUAACGCAACCUGAUAACCCCGAUCUGGUUCGAUCAGUUGGGGUGCAUUCCACUGCAACAAUCUGAUUGUAACUGUGCUAGCAUUGCACCUCAAGGAACAUUUUUGUGAUUGUGCUAUCCCGUUUGCCGCACGGCAUCGUCCUUGCCGGGCGCAAGGCUCGCGCUCGCCUGCCUGACCUCGUCGUCAUCGCGUCCCAGGCCCAGCGCCGUGCGAGUGGAAGCAAAUCCUUCACCACCACCGCAGCACCACCGCACCACAGCAGCAGCAGCAGGAGGAGGAGAAAACUUUCGUCCCCG